GAUUAACGCUGGCGGCGUGCCUAAUACAUGCAAGUCGAGUGAAGCGGGGACGGGUGAGUAACACGUGGAUAACCUCCUAUAAGUCUGUGAUAAAUUCGGGAAACCGGAGCUAAACCGGUUACUGAUAGAUGGAUCCGCGCUGCAUUAGCUAGUUGGUAAGGUAACGGCUUACAAAGGCAACGAUGCAUAGCCGACCUGAGAGGGGGAUCGGCAAAACUGUAACUGAGACACGGUCCAGACUCCGACGGUAGGCAGCAGUAGGGAAGCUUCAGCAAUGGGCGAAAGCCUGACGGAGCAACGCCGCGUGAGUUAUGAAGGUCUUCGGAUCGUAAAACUCUGUUAUUAGGGAAGCGGUACCUAAUCAGAAAGCCACGGCUAACUACGUGCCAGCAGCCGCGGUAAUAC
rnacentral:rRNA from 1 species